AUUGCCUCAGUAACGGCGAGUGAAGCGGCAACAGCUCAAAUUUGAAAUCUGGCCCUAGGCCCGAGUUGUAAUUUGCAGAGGAUGCUUUUGGCGCGGUGCCUUCCGAGUUCCCUGGAACGGGACGCCAUAGAGGGUGAGAGCCCCGUCUGGUCGGACACCAAGCCUCUGUAAAGCUCCUUCGACGAGUCGAGUAGUUUGGGAAUGCUGCUCAAAAUGGGAGGUAUAUGUCUUCUAAAGCUAAAUACCGGCCAGAGACCGAUAGCGCACAAGUAGAGUGAUCGAAAGAUGAAAAGCACUUUGGAAAGAGAGUUAAACAGCACGUGAAAUUGUUAAAAGGGAAGCGUUUAUGACCAGACUUGGGCCGGUUGAUCAUCCAGCGUUCUCGCUGGUGCACUCUGCCGGUCCAGGCCAGCAUCAGUUCGCUGCGGGGGAUAAAGGCGUCGGGAAUGUGGCUCCUCGGAGUGUUAUAGCCCUUCGCGCAAUACCCUGUGGCGGACUGAGGUUCGCGCAUUCGCAAGGAUGCUGGCGUAAUGGUCAUCAACGACCCGUCUUGAAACACGGACCAAGGAGUCGUCUUCGUAUGCGAGUGUUCGGGUGUAAAACCCCUACGCGUAAUGAAAGUGAACGCAGGUGAGAGCUUCGGCGCAUCAUCGACCGAUCCUGAUGUUCUCGGAUGGAUUUGAGUAAGAGCAUACGGGGCCGGACCCGAAAGAAGGUGAACUAUGCCUGUAUAGGGUGAAGCCAGAGGAAACUCUGGUGGAGGCUCGCAGCGGUUCUGACGUGCAAAUCGAUCGUCAAAUAUGGGCAU
rnacentral:rRNA from 1 species